GGUGGGAACUCAUGGGAUACUGCCGGGGACAACUCGGAGGAAGGUGGGGAUGACGUCAAAUCAUCAUGCCCCUUAUGUCUUGGGCUUCACGCAUGCUACAAUGGCCGGUACAAUGGGCAGCGAUACCGUGAGGUGGAGCGAAUCCCAAAAAGCCGGUCCCAGUUCGGAUUGAGGUCUGCAACUCGACCUCAUGAAGUCGGAGUCGCUAGUAAUCGCNGAUCAGC
rnacentral:rRNA from 1 species